rnacentral:rRNA from 1 species
UAGGGAAUCUUCGGCAAUGGGGGGAACCCUGACCGAGCAACGCCGCGUGAGUGAAGAAGGUUUUCGGAUCGUAAAGCUCUGUUGUUAAGGAAGAACGAGUGUGAGAAUGGAAAGUUCAUGCUGUGACGGUACUUAACCAGAAAGGGACGGCUAACUACGUGCCAGCAGCCGCGGUAAUACGUAGGGCGCAAGCGUUAUCCGGAAUUAUUGGGCGUAAAGAGCUUGUAGGCGGUUCGUCGCGUCUGGGGUGAAAGCCCAUCGCUUAACGGUGGGUUUGCCACGGGUACGGGCGGGCUAGAGUGCAGGAGGGGGGACUGGAAUUCCCGGUGUAACGGUGAAAUGUGUAGAUAUCGGGAAGAACACCAAUGGCGAAGGCAGGUCUCUGGGCUGUUACUGACGCUGAGAAGCGAAAGCGUGGGGAGCGAACAGG